GCAGUGAUGCACGACUGGCGGAAGCAGACAUCGGACAGAUGUUCUGUGUAGGGCAACCUACAGGGAGUGUAUUUUAUACGGAUUAGCCGACCGCCUGGGCAGCAUUA
rnacentral:ncRNA from 2 species